AACGAACGCUGGCGGCAUGCCUAACACAUGCAAGUCGAACGAGACCUUCGGGUCUAGUGGCGCACGGGUUCGUAACGCGUGGGAACCUGCCCUUAGGUUCGGCAUAACUCCCCGAAAGGGGUGCUAAUACCGGAUAAUGUCUUCGAACCAAAGAUUUAUCGCCUUUGGAUGGGCCCGCGUUGGAUUAGCUAGUUGUUAGGGUAAAAGCCUACCAAGGCGCCGAUCCAUAGCUGGUCUGAGAGGAUGAUCAGCCACACUGGGACUGAGACACGGCCCAGACUCCUACGGGAGGCAGCAGUGGGGAAUAGUGGAAAAUGGGCGAAAGCCUGAUCCAGCAAUGACGCGUGAGUGAUGAAGGCAUUAGGGUUGUAAAGCUCUUUUACCCGGGAUGAUAAUGACAGUACCGGGAGAAUAAGCUCCGGCUAACUCCGUG
rnacentral:rRNA from 1 species